ACUUGCUAUAUGCAAGGUAGGUAAAAUUCUCAUAGUCAUUUUGGGAGAUGGUUACUGUCACUAGCCUCAUUUGACAGUUGAAGAAACUGAAGGAGAGAGAGAUGUCUAACUUCUAAAUAAUACUCCAACUGUUAAGCCUCUACAGCUCUACUAAGGAUCCAUUUACUACUUGGUACCCAGUCACCGGAAGGAAUACAAGUAGCUCUCGAGCCCUUCCAGCAAGAGAUGCAUGGCAAGAAAGAUUGAUGACACCUGUGGGGCCCUUCAUAGUGGCAUCGUGACUGCUGCAGAGAGAGAGUAGGAAGUGGCCAAGAUAGUGUGAUUCACCAAACUUUUCUAAAAUAAAUAUCCAUUCACUCACUA